GCAGACACAUUCCAGCCAAUCAGCAGCAGACCCUCCCUCCCAGACCCUCCCACCUCCUGGACAGCAUCCAUUUUACAUUCAAUGUGAAGCUGCAUUCUUAGUGAGCUGUCCAGGAGGUGGGAGGGUCUGGGAGGGAGGGUCUGCUGCUGAUUGACUGGAAUGUGUCUG
rnacentral:miRNA from 1 species